CUUCAUUUUUAACGAAAAAUAAGUAUGAUUAACAACCCUUGAUGGAAAACCAUUUCAUUGCAAGUAAGAUAGAGCAAUCACCAAGACUAGUAACCGUUAGCCAAAUGUAUUUGAUGUAUGACAAAGAGCUUUCUUGUAGUGGUGAACAAAUAAUCACAACAUAAAAUAUGCAUCGAUAGAUUGCGUUUUGUUGAAACAGAAGUCGGUACAUUGAGAUGAAAACAAUCAUCAAAACAACUUAUUAUCCACUACCAUUAGAAUGCAUUAGUCAUUCUUAGAAUGACCUAUACUAGGACUAUGGCCCGGAGUCGUAGGUCGAAAGGAAUUCACAUAUACUUCAUCAAAUCUAAAUGCAGGCCUCUGUAACUUUGUGGGACUUGCUUCUCUUGUUACUUUGGCACCACAAGUAAUCAGAUUUGCACACUUCAAUGCUUUUCCUCCCCGAAUGCAAAAAACUUCAUUUGGAACGAUGACAAGCAGGAAAAUCAAACACAGAAAAACUUUGGCCAUAUCGACUAUAGCUAGAAUUUUAGUUCUCUCUCUUUCUAAAGAAAGAAAAGAAGGAAAGUGAAGAGAAC
rnacentral:lncRNA from 1 species